CCGAGCAACACUUCAGGAUAAAGACGCAUUUCAAAUGCUGUUUUAGCGCUGUUUUGAACUAGCUGUGGUAAGAACAAUACCACUGGUGUGGCCUGUCAUUGACAGACAAAGCUGACAUGUGCCAGGACAUCAGCUGCGAUUCGGGAAUACACUGGCAUCCGAGUGACUUUGGUCAUCUUGUUUACUUAAAAUCCAGAACAAACAUCUUAUAAAUGUGUUUUUCAAGCUUCUAUUCUGAACGGAUGUGGAGGAACCAAAUCAAUGCACCACUGAAGGACUGCAGUUCAUGGAUCUUUUCCCAGUAAUCAGAUAUCAUCUGAGAGGAGUGACCAGCAGUCUUGGAAGUCUGAUGUGCAUGAUAAAAUCUUUUUAUGACACACGCCCGGAGACAGGAGAGCCAAUCAGAGAGAGCGAGAGCUGCACCAUAUGUUAAACCAGGCUGGUUUCCUGAACAGCCACACAGCUCUAGUCCGGAUGUCUCAUGUCACACAGUUCUCUCUGUGCACUAGGCCAGCUGUGCCCUUUCCUGCCCUCUUGGCUUCUCCCCUUGUUUUGCAUUAAAGGCGACCCAUAAUUCCCAUGAGUUUGGCCCUGCUUGGGUUAUUCCUCCAGAAGUCAUCAGCUGUGAGAAUACACUUAGACCUCAUGAGCCUCUACUGCUGUUAGUCAGCCAAAUGUUAAGUCACUGCACACCAGCGCACAAACAAACAACAGCAUGGCUGAAACACUUUUGGUAGCAGCUCAAAUUCAGCCCGAGAUUAGCUCUACUGUAAGAUUUGACCCUCUGUAUCCCUGCUCUUGCUGCUGAUGUUUGUGAAGCAUGGCACAAUAGG